GUGUCAGCAGCCGCGGUAAUACGAAGGGGGCUAGCGUUGUUCGGAAUUACUGGGCGUAAAGCGAACGUAGGCGGUGUUCCAUGUCAGAGGUGAAAGCCUGGGGCUCAACUCCAGAAUUGCCUUUGAAACGGGGACGCUUGAGUCCGAGAGAGGGUGGCGGAAUUCCUAGUGUAGAGGUGAAAUUCGUAGAUAUUAGGAAGAACACCAGUGGCGAAGGCGGCCACCUGGCUCGGUACUGACGCUCAGGUUCGAAAGCGUGGGGAGCAAACAGGAUUAGAUACCCUGGUAGUCCACGCCGUAAACGAUGAGUGCUAGUUGUUGGGAAGUUUACUUCUCAGUGACGCAGCUAACGCGAUAAGCACUCCGCCUGGGGAGUACGGCCGCAAGGUUAAA
rnacentral:rRNA from 1 species